GACGUAGGGGGCCAGCGUUGUUCGGAAUUACUGGGUGUAAAGGGUUCGUAGGCGGUGUAGCAAGUCGGGAGUGAAAUCUCUGGGCUUAACCCAGAGGCUGCUUCCGAAACUGCUGUGCUUGAGUGUGGGAGAGGCGCGUGGAAUUGCAGGUGUAGCGGUGAAAUGCGUAGAUAUCUGCAGGAACACCCGUGGCGAAAGCGGCGCGCUGGACCACUACUGACGCUGAGGAACGAAAAGCUAGGGGAGCAAACAGG
rnacentral:rRNA from 1 species